CCGGAGUGGGUAAUCGGGAGAAUCAGGAGAAUUCCCGGUGGGCCGCUUCACUUUUGGGCCGGUCGAGGGGAAACUAUUGACAUUUGCCACGUUAAUUUAUCUUCUCUAAAGUUUGCUACUUUUGU